rnacentral:rRNA from 1 species
ACUUGGAUGAAUGGACCGGCUACCCCCUUAAGAAAGAGGUAAGAGGUAGUGCAGGAGAUCCUUUUAAGGAGUAAAGUUCUAAAUAUAUGAUUGAUAAUGACAGUCUAUAUAUUAUGUCUUGACCAAUUACGUGCCAGCAGUCGCGGCAAUACGUAUGAGACUAGUGUUAUUCAUCUUAAAUAGGUUUAAAGGGUACCCAGACGGCAAAUGUCACCUUUAAAAGGUUAUUAUUUUGCUAGAGUUUUAUGUGAAGAGGCCGUACUUGUGAGUGGAGAGUUAAAAUUCUGUGAUACCUGGGGGACGGAUAAAGGCGAAGGCAGCCUCUUAUGUACAAACUGACGUUGAAGGACGAAGGCAUUGCGGCACGAACAGGAUUAGGGACCCUAGUAGUCUUUGCAGACAAUGAUGAAUGCCAUAGGUUAGGUUGUUACUUAGUCUAUAAAUGAAAGUGUAAGCAUUUCACCUCAAGAGUAAUGCGGCAACGCAGGAACUGAAAUCACUAGACCGUUUCUGACACCAGUAGUGAAGUAUGUUGUUUAAUUCGAUGAUCCACGAAAAAUCUUACCACAAUUUGAAUAGAAUAAAAUAAUUAAGGCGACUCGACUGUCGUUUUAGUAUAUUUAUUCAUACAAGUGUUGCACGGCUGUUUCCAGUUAAUGUUGUGAAACUGUGGCAAAAGCCAUGGAAUUAACGUAAACCUGAGCUUUAUUUGUAAAUAUAUUAUUUUGAUAGGGCUGAUUCGUCCAUUAUAUUGGAUCUGAUAACAGGGACUAAGACAAGUCAUCAUGGCCUUGAUAU